CAUAUCAAUAAGCGGAGGAAAAGAAACUAACAAGGAUUCCCCUAGUAACUGCGAGUGAAGCGGGAAAAGCUCAAAUUUAAAAUCUGGCGGUCUUUGGCCGUCCGAGUUGUAGUCUGGAGAAGUGCUUUCCGCGCUGGACCGUGUAUAAGUCUCUUGGAACAGAGCGUCAUAGAGGGUGAGAAUCCCGUCUUUGACACGGACUACCAGUGCUUUGUGAUGCGCUCUCAAAGAGUCGAGUUGUUUGGGAAUGCAGCUCAAAAUGGGUGGUGAAUUCCAUCUAAAGCUAAAUAUUGGCGAGAGACCGAUAGCGAACAAGUACCGUGAGGGAAAGAUGAAAAGCACUUUGGAAAGAGAGUUAAACAGUACGUGAAAUUGCUGAAAGGGAAACGCUUGAAGUCAGUCGCGUUGUCCGGAACUCAGCCUUGCUUUCGCUUGGUGCACUUUCCGGAUGACGGGUCAGCAUCGAUUUUGACCGUCGGAAAAGGGCUGGAGUAAUGUGGCACCUCCGGGUGUGUUAUAGACUCUGGUCGCAUACGACGGUUGGGAUCGAGGAACGCAGCGCGCCGCAAGGCAGGGGUUCGCCCACUUUCGCGCUUAGGAUGCUGGCAUAAUGGCUUUAAACGACCCGUCUUGAAACACGGACCAAGGAGUCUAACAUACCUGCGAGUGUUUGGGUGGAAAACCCGAGCGCGUAAUGAAAGUGAAAGUUGAGAUCCCUGUCGUGGGGAGCAUCGACGCCCGGACCUGACGUUCUCUGACGGAUCCGCGGUAGAGCAUGUAUGUUGGGACCCGAAAGAUGGUGAACUAUGCCUGAAUAGGGUGAAGCCAGAGGAAACUCUGGUGGAGGCUCGUAGCGAUUCUGACGUGCAAAUCGAUCGUCAAAUUUGGGUAUAGGGGCG
rnacentral:rRNA from 1 species